AUCCCACAUAAUGUUUGUUUUGUGAUUAUUUGAUUCAUGGGAGGCAAAAAUUGAAAUGGGAGUUCGCUGAUGGCAUUUUUUGGUCUUUGUAAGUGUUUCACUAGUACUUCACCAUACAUGU
rfam:Populus trichocarpa isolate Nisqually-1 chromosome 13, whole genome shotgun sequence.